rnacentral:rRNA from 1 species
CAGAACGAACGCUGGCGGCGCGUCUUAAGCAUGCAAGUCGAGCGGCAAGCGGUAGCAAUACCGCCUAGAGCGGCGGACUGGUGAGUAACGCGUGGGUGACCUGCCUUGAGGCUGGGGAUAGCCGCUAGAAAUAGCGGGUAAUACCGAAUAUGGUUGCCGGGUUUUGACCUGGCAAAGAAAGGGGCUCCGGCCCCGCCUCGAGAUGGGCCCGCGUCCUAUUAGGUAGUUGGCGGGGUAAGAGCCCACCAAGCCCGAGAUAGGUAGCCGGCCUGAGAGGGUGAACGGCCACAUUGGGACUGAGAUACGGCCCAAACUCCUACGGGAGGCAGCAGCUAAGAAUAUUCCGCAAUGGACGAAAGUCUGACGGAGCGACGCCGCGUGUAUGACGAAGGCCGAAAGGUUGUAAAGUACUUUUGCGGAUGAAGAAUAAGCGUGGCAGGGAAUGGCCGCGUGAUGACGUAGUCCGGAAUAAGCCCCG